GAAAUAUUCCGUAUGUCCGGAAAUACUUGUUGGGGAAAUGGAUGAAAAUGGAUGUAUCUAGAAGUAACAUACGCCUAGAUACAUCCAUAUCUCUGAUGAGUAUUUCUGGAAAGAGGGAGUAAGUA
rfam:Triticum aestivum genome assembly, contig: Triticum_aestivum_CS42_TGACv1_scaffold_095484_2AL